AUUGAACGCUGGCGGCAUGCUUUACACAUGCAAGUCGAACGGUAACAGGCCGCAAGGUGCUGACGAGUGGCGAACGGGUGAGUAAUGCAUCGGAACGUGCCCAGUCGUGGGGGAUAACGCAGCGAAAGCUGCGCUAAUACCGCAUACGAUCUAUGGAUGAAAGCGGGGGACCGUAAGGCCUCGCGCGAUUGGAGCGGCCGAUGUCAGAUUAGGUAGUUGGUGGGGUAAAGGCUCACCAAGCCGACGAUCUGUAGCUGGUCUGAGAGGACGACCAGCCACACUGGGACUGAGACACGGCACAGACUCCUACGGGAGGCAGCAGUGGGGAAUUUUGGACAAUGGGCGCAAGCCUGAUCCAGCAAUGCCGCGUGCAGGAAGAAGGCCUUCGGGUUGUAAACUGCUUUUGUACGGAACGAAAAGGCUCUGGUUAAUACCUGGGGCUCAUGACGGUACCGUAAGAAUAAGCACCGGCUAACUACGUGCCAGCCGCCGCCGCAGUAA
rnacentral:rRNA from 1 species